CCGUGCCGUCGCUAACGCACUAAGUACCCCGCCUGGGGAGUACGGCCGCAAGGCUAAUACUCAAAGGAAUUGACGGGGGCCCGCACAAGCAGCGGAGCAUGUGGUUUAAUUCGACGCAACGCGAAGAACCUUACCUGGGCUUGACAUGUUGGUGACCGCCGUGGAAACACGGUUUUCCUUCGGGACACCAUCACAGGUGGUGCAUGGCUGUCGUCAGCUCGUGUCGUGAGAUGUUGGGUUAAGUCCUGCAACGAGCGCAACCCCCGUUCCAUGUUGCCAGCAUUCAGUUGGGGACUCAUGGGAGACUGCCGGUGACAAACCGGAGGAAGGUGGGGAUGACGUCAAGUCAUCAUGCCCCUUAUGUCCAGGGCUACACACGUGCUACAUUGGCGCAUACAAAGGGCAGCAAUACCGCGAGGUGGAGCAAAUCCCAUAAAGUGCGCCUCGGUUCGGAUUGGAGGCUGAAACUCGCCUCCAUGAAGGUGGAGUUGCUAGUAAUCGCGGAUCAGCAAUGCCGCGGUGAUACGUUCCCGGGCNUUGUACACACCGCC
rnacentral:rRNA from 1 species